ACUAGAACACACACUCUCCAUUCAGCAGCUUAAAGGAUUCAGGUCCCUGGUCAGACCUUCAGACCUCCAGGUGGUCAUAAAGAACUUCUCCAGCCUUCGGUUUGUAGACGACCUAAUUCCUCCCAGAACUUAGUGGAGUAAAUUCUUGGAGGAAUGUUGUUGUUUACAACUCUAAGUUUGUUUAUUCCCGUUUUUGUGGAAUGAAGCUGAUCUCAGACCAGAGCUGUGAAAGAACGACCAAUAAAUGAAGUCCUCAGAGAUUCUAAAUGUUCCUCAGAGAUUCUAAAUGUUCCUAAGAGGUUCUAAAUGUUCCUCAGAGGUUCUAAAUGUUCCUCAGAAGUUCUAAAUGUUCCUCAGAGAUUCUAAAUGUUCCUCAGAGAUUCUAAAUGUUCCUCAGAGAUUCUAAAUGUUCCUCAGAUGUUCUAAAUGUUCCUCAGAGGUUCUAAAUGUUCCUCAGAGAUUCUAAAUGUUCCUCAGAGAUUCUAAAUGUUCCUCAGAGGUUCUAAAUGUUCCUCAGAGGUUCUAAAUGUUCCUCAGAGGUUCUAAAUGUUCCUCAGAGGUUCUAAAUGUUCCUCAGAUGUUCUAAAUGUUCCUCAGAGAUUCUAAAUGUUCCUCAGAGGUUCUAAAUGUUCCUCAGAGGUUCUAAAUGUUCCUCAGAGGUCCUAAAUGUUCCUCAGAUGUUCUAAAUGUUCCUCAGAUGUUCUAAAUGUUCCUCAGAGAUUCUAAAUGUUCCUCAGAGAUUCUAAAUGUUCCUCAGAGGUUCUAAAUGUUCCUCAGAGGUUCUAAAUGUUCCUCAGAGGUUCUAAAUGUUCCUCAGAUGUUCUAAAUGUUCCUCAGAUGUUCUAAAUGUUCCUCAGAGAUUCUAAAUGUUCCUCAGAGGUUCUAAAUGUUCCUCAGAGAUUCUAAAUGUUCCUCAGAGGUUCUAAAUGUUCCUCAGAGAGGUUCUAAAUGUUCCUCAGAGGUUCUAAAUGUUCCUCAGAGGUUCUAAAUAUUCCUCAGAAAUUCUAAAUGUUCCUCAGAGAGGUUCUAAAUGUUCCUCAGAUGUUCUAAAUAUUCCUCAGAAUUUCUAAAUGUUCCUCAGAGAUUCUAAAUGUUCCUUAGAGAUUCUAAAUGUUCCUCAGAGGUCCUAAAUGUUCCUCAGAGAUUCUAAAUGUUCCUCAGAGGUUCUAAAUGUUCCUCAGAGGUUCUAAAUGUUCCUCAGAGGUUCUAAAUGUUCCUCAGAGGUUCUAAAUGUUCCUCAGAGAGGUUCUAAAUGUUCCUCAGAGGUUCUAAAUGUUCCUCAGAAGUUCUAAAUGUUCCUCGGAGAUUCUAAAUAUUCCUCAGAAGUUCUAAAUGUUCCUCAGAGGUUCUAAAUGUUCCUCAGAUGUUCUAAAUGUUCCUCAGAGAUUCUAAAUGUUCCUCAGAGGUUCUAAAUGUUCCUCAGAGAUUCUAAAUGUUCCUCAGAGAUUCUAAAUGUUCCUCAGAAGUUCUAAAUGUUCCUCAGAGAGGUUCUACCUGCAGGUUAUCACGUUUCACCUCUUUCUGGUCAUCUACAGCCUUUUUAUACUCGUUUAGUAUCUAUCUGUGUAGGGUUUGUGUUACGGUGGUUUUGCGUCUCUUUGUGGUGGCUACAUUUCAUUUUCUAGAUUUUUCAUGUUUUAAAGAUAACUUUGCAUCUUUUCCUGGUGGUUUUAUGUUUUUUAAUGUUCUUUCAGUCCGUUGUAGGCAUUCUGCACUUUUUUGUGUCUUUUGUGACGUUCUGCAUCAUUCUGUGUAGGCUUUGCAUAUCUAAUAGUGGUUUCAUGUAUUUAAUUGUGUUCUUUUGCAUGUUUUCAUGGUGGUUUUGUGUUUUUUUGUCAUGAUUCUGCUGUUGAUGUGGGGAUUUUGCAUCUUUUCAAAGUGAUUUUGCUGUUUUCAUGGUAGUUUAGCGUCUUUUAGUGGUGAUUUUGCAGAAAUUUGUGUUAUGAUUUUUCAUCUUUUACUUGCAGUUUUGUGUCUUUUAGUGUUUUCUGCACAUAGUUGUAGGAAUUCUGCAUAUUUUUGGGGUUGCUUUGCAUAUUUAAUCGUAGUUUUGUGUAUUUAAUGGUGGUUUUUGCAUGUUUUCGAUGUGGUUUUGCCAAUUUUCAUGGUGGUUUAGCAUCUUUUAGUGGCAUUUGUUUCUGCGCGUAGUUAUACAGAUUUUGCGUCUUUUUGUAGCAGGUUUGCGUUUGUUUGUAGCAGGUUUGCGUUUGUUUGUAGCAGGUUUGCGUUUGUUUGUGGCUGUUUUGCAUCUUUUUGUUAUUCUGUGGUAGUUUUGCAUCUUUUCAAGGUGUUUUUUUUGCCAAUUUUCAUGGUGGUUUAAUGUCUUUUUGCAGCAAUAUAUUGCAAUUUUGCACCUUUUAGUGGAAUUUUGCAUCCUUUUGUGGCAGUUUUGUGUCUUUAAUGCUGUUUCUGCAAAUUGCUGGAGGGAUUUUGCAUCUUUUUCUGGCAUGUUUUGCGUCUUUUGUGACAGUUUUGCAUCUGCUUGUAGUGCUUUAGCAUCUUUUUGUAGUUAUUCUCUGCAUUGUUGUAGAGAUUUUGCACCAUUUAAUGAUAUUUUGCAUGUUUAUUUGCGGUUUUGUGUUGUUUAAUGUCGUUUCUGCACAUUGUUGUAGGGAUUUUGCUUCUUUUUUUGGUGGUUUUUGUGUCUUUUGCAUCUUCUUGUGCUGGUUUUGCAUCAUUUCAUGGUGGGUUUGAGUCUUUUAGUGGCGAUAGUGAAUCUUUAUGUGGCAUUUAUUUUUAUUUUUAAAGCCCACCAGACUCCACUGAUGGUCCAUCCUCCUACUGAUCCACACCGACACAUUAAACCUUAAUGCCACUUCUGUCUGUCUCUUUUAUUUUCUG